CCUACGGGAGGCAGCAGUGGGGAAUUUUGGACAAUGGGCGAAAGCCUGAUCCAGCCAUUCCGCGUGAGUGAAGAAGGCCUUCGGGUUGUAAAGCUCUUUCGCAAGGAAAGAAAACUUAUCUCCUAAUACGGGGUGAGGAUGACGGUACCUUGAUAAGAAGCACCGGCUAACUACGUGCCAGCAGCCGCGGUAAUACGUAGGGUGCGAGCGUUAAUCGGAAUUACUGGGCGUAAAGCGUGCGCAGGCUGUUUUGUAAGUCAGAUGUGAAAUCCCUGGGCUCAACCUAGGAACUGCGUUUGAAACUACAAGGCUAGAGUGUAGCAGAGGGGGGUAGAAUUCCACGUGUAGCAGUGAAAUGCGUAGAGAUGUGGAGGAAUACCAAUGGCGAAGGCAGCCCCCUGGGUUAACACUGACGCUCAUGCACGAAAGCGUGGGGAGCAAACAGGAUUAGAUACCCUGGUAGUCCACGCCCUAAACGAUGUCUACUAGUUGUUGGGAGAGUAAAAUCUCUUAGUAACGCAGCUAACGCGUGAAGUAGACCGCCUGGGGAAUACGGUCGNAAGAUUAAACUAAGAUGACGNGNGAGAGNGCGAGAGACACGAGGAGAG
rnacentral:rRNA from 1 species